rnacentral:rRNA from 1 species
UACGGGGGGGGCAAGCGUUGUUCGGAAUUACUGGGCGUAAAGGGCUCGUAGGCGGCCAACUAAGUCAGACGUGAAAUCCCUCGGCUUAACCGGGGAACUGCGUCUGAUACUGGAUGGCUAGAGGUUGGGAGAGGGAUGCGGAAUUCCAGGUGUAGCGGUGAAAUGCGUAGAUAUCAGGAGGAACACCGGUGGCGAAGGCGGAUCUCUGGGCCUUACCUGACGCUCAGGUGCGAAAGCUAGGGGAGCGAACAGG